GGGCCCGCACAAGCGGUGGAGCAUGUGGUUUAAUUCGAAGCAACGCGAAGAACCUUACCAGGUCUUGACAUACUCGUGCUAUUCCUAGAGAUAGGAAGUUCCUUCGGGACACGGGAUACAGGUGGUGCAUGGUUGUCGUCAGCUCGUGUCGUGAGAUGUUGGGUUAAGUCCCGCAACGAGCGCAACCCUUAAGCUUAGUUGCCAUCAUUAAGUUGGGCACUCUAAGUUGACUGCCGGUGACAAACCGGAGGAAGGUGGGG
rnacentral:rRNA from 1 species